rnacentral:rRNA from 1 species
GAUGGAUAACCGGGAGAAAUCCCGCCUAAUACAACAUAAUGCCGGGAGGGGACAUCCCCUGCCGGCCAAAGGGGGCGACCCCGGUCACGGAUGGGCAUGCGGCGCAUUAGGUAGUUGGUGGGGCAACGGCCCACCAAGCCGACGAUGCGUAGGGGUUCUGAGAGGAAGGUCCCCCACAUUGGAACUGAGACACGGUCCAAACUCCUACGGGAGGCAGCAGUGAGGAAUAUUGGUCAAUGGCCGGAAGGCUGAACCAGCCAAGUCGCGUGAGGGAAUAAGGCCCUACGGGUCGUAAACCUCUUUUGCCAGGGAGCAAUGCCGUCCACGUGUGGACGGAAGGAGAGUACCUGGAGAAAAAGCAUCGGCUAACUCCGUGCCAGCAGCCGCGGUAAUACGGAGGAUGCGAGCGUUAUCCGGAUUUAUUGGGUUUAAAGGGUGCGUAGGCGGCCUGCCAAGUCAGCGGUAAAAUUGCGGGGCUCAACCCCGUACAGCCGUUGAAACUGCCGGGCUCGAGUGGGCGAGAAGUAUGCGGAAUGCGUGGUGUAGCGGUGAAAUGCAUAGAUAUCACGCAGAACCCCGAUUGCGAAGGCAGCAUACCGGCGCCCUACUGACGCUGAGGCACGAAAGUGCGGGGAUCAAACAGGAUUAGAUACCCUGGUAGUCCGCACAGUAAAC